GUAGGUUACUGACUGCACUUGUUUGUGAAUACUUGGAGUGACCACAACUAAGUCACACAAUGAAACUUUACUUUCCAGAGUGUAACCUGCCGGACUUCUGAUAGAAUGAACUGAAAGACUUCUCUAACAAAAGUGGAGCUGAGGG